ACGGAGGAUCCAAGCGUUAUCCGGAUUUACUGGGUUUAAAGGGUGCGUAGGCGGGCCCCUCAGUCAGCGGUGAAAGUCUGCGGCUCAACCGUAGGAUUGCCGUUGAUACUGGGGGCCUUGGAUUCGGUCGAGGCGGGUGGAAUGUGUGGUGUAGCGGUGAAAUGCGUAGAGAUCACGAAGAACGCCGAUUGCGAAGGCAGCUUGCUGGGCCGAAAUCGACGCUGAGGCGCGAAAGCGUGGGGAUCGAACAG
rnacentral:rRNA from 1 species